rnacentral:rRNA from 1 species
AUGAACGCUGGCGGCGUGCCUAAUACCUGCAAGUCGAGCGAACAGACGAGGAGCUUGCUCCUCUGACGUUAGCGGCGGACGGGUGAGUAACACGUGGAUAACCUACCUAUAAGACUGGGAUAACUUCGGGAAACCGGAGCUAAUACCGGAUAAUAUAUUGAACCGCAUGGUUCAAUAGUGAAAGACGGUUUUGCUGUCACUUAUAGAUGGAUCCGCGCCGCAUUAGCUAGUUGGUAAGGUAACGGCUUACCAAGGCAACGAUGCGUAGCCGACCUGAGAGGGUGAUCGGCCACACUGGAACUGAGACACGGUCCAGACUCCUACGGGAGGUAGCAGUAGGGAAUCUUCCGCAAUGGGCGAAAGCCUGACGGAGCAACGCCGCGUGAGUGAUGAAGGUCUUCGGAUCGUAAAACUCUGUUAUUAGGGAAGAACAAAUGUGUAAGUAACUAUGCACGUCUUGACGGUACCUAAUCAGAAAGCCACGGCUAACUACGUG